ensembl:lncRNA
NGAAGGGUAAAGUGUCCGACCGUUUCCGCUUUGCCCUGGGAGAGACCAUGAUUCCAUCAGUGACUGAAAAACCAGUCAAGAGCUUGGGGAAGUUCUUUGAUAGCUCCCUGAAGGACUCAGCUGCCAUAAAACAAACCAAGUGCGACCUGACUACCUGGCUCACAGCGAUUGACAGAUGUGGCCUCCCCGGAAAAUUCAAAACCUGGAUCUACCAGCAUGGAGUCUUGCCAAGAAUACUCUGGCCCCUGUUAGUCUACGAGGUACCAACAUCAACAGUCGAGGUUCUAGAGAAGUCUAUCAGCCAGUUCCUCAGAAAAUGGCUGGGGCUCCCUCGGUCCUUGAGCAGCAUUGCCCUUUACGGCCAUUCCACCAAGUUGCAUCUUCCUUUGAGUGGACUAUCAGAGGAGUUCAAAGUCACCCGCUCCAGAGAGGUAUUGAUGUACAGGGACUCCAAAGACACAAAAGUCGCAGCAGCAGGAAUCCUCGUGAAGACCGGGAGAAAAUGGCAGGCGCAAGAAGCCGUCACUAAAGCUGAGGCACGACUAAGGCACAAAACGCUGGUGGGCUCCGUGGCAAUGGGACGAGCAGGUCUUGGUUGUUUUCCCAAGCCACGUUAUGAUCUGGCUCGUGGAAAAGAGAGGCGCAAACUGAUUCAGGAUGAGAUACGAGCAGAGGUGGAGGAAGAACGCUACACCAAAAUGGCCAGCAUGUCCAAACAAGGAGCGUGGACCAGGUGGGAACAUGCAGAUCCACGCAGAAUAACCUGGGCAGAGCUCUGGAAAGCAGAGCCAUUUCGGAUCAAGUUUCUUGUCCAAUCCGUCUAUGACGUCCUCCCAAGCCCAGCUAACCUGCACACCUGGGUCCUGGCAGACACUCCUGAGUGCAAGCUGUGCAAGAAAAGGGGCACACUGGAGCACAUUUUGAGCAGCUGCUCAAGAGCGCUAGGGGAAGGGCGGUACCGCUGGCGCCACGACCAGGUGCUAAAGGCAUUAGCGGACUCCAUCUGCACAGCGAUCCAGCUCAGCAAGACCCAGGCAGCCCCCAAACAAACAAUCACCUUCAUUAGAGCUGGGCAGAAGGAACAAUUCCAUCGGCCUAGCUCUACGGGGGGGCUCCUCUCCACUGCUCGUGAUUGGCAGCUUCAGGUUGACCUUGGAAGACAGCUUAAGUUCCCAGGCAACAUCACAGCCACUUCUCUCCGCCCAGACAUGGUGCUAACGUCUGAGUCUACCAAGCAAGUGGUUAUCCUGGAACUAACUGUCCCCUGGGAAGACCGUAUUGAAGAGGCCCAUGAGCUUAAGAGGGCUAAGUACGCAGGGCUCAGCUCGGAGUGCCGGAACAAUGGCUGGAAAACUCGCUGCGAGCCAGUCGAGGUCGGGUGCUGAGGCUUCGCUGGCCACUCACUGCUGCGAACCCUCAAACUCCUGCAAUUGAAAAAAGCCACCGCAAACAUCUUAGAGGCCGCAGAGAGGGCUUCUCGGUGGCUGUGGAUCCGUAGGGGGGAUCCGUGGAGCAACAUGCCACUUGGACACAAGCCGGGGACUGAUCACCCCCGGUUGGGUCGCCCGGGUGAGGGUGUAUGAAGAUUAAAGACCCGAAACACCCUAUGACCCCGGGAUUUUCACUGAUGACAUGUCCAAGUAGCACCAGAAGGUGUAUUCAAACUCUUUGUAAUUGAUUUUUUCUUUGAAAAGCAAGACAAAACAGUAAAAAGUACAUUUUGCCUAUUUAAUUUGUGCAAUAGUGGAAAGAAUUGGCAAAAUACACAGAGAAAAAAUAAAAAAAAACUUGAAAAACCAUGUUUGGCCUUCGGCCUAGUGUUUAAUUUUGUUCGGUUUUGGCUUUGGCCAAGAAUUUUCAUUUCAGUGCAACCCUUACAAAUUCCAAGUAGGGUAUCAUCCAGUACAUCCAGGAGUUCUCAAGAACUACAGAAAGAA